rnacentral:ncRNA from 1 species
GACUAAUAUAGGUAAGGAAAGUCGGCAAAUUAGAUCCAUAACUUCGGAAUAAGGAUUGGCUCUGAGGAGCGGGGCGUGUCGGGCUUGGUCGGCAAGCGGGUUUGGCUGACGUGUCGGGCCUGGGCGAGGUGACGUUCCGGUGUUCUCGCGCCGGGUCCGGGAUCCGAGCUUGGUCCCGUGCUUUGACCUUCCGCGGAUCUUCCUUGCUGCGAGGCUUCUGUGGCGGCGCGAGCCGUCGUGGUCGUCCUCUUCGGCCGCCAUUCAACGCUCAGUUCAGAACUGGCACGGACUGGCAGGGGAAUCCAACUGUUUAAUUAAAACAAAGCAUUGCGAUGACCCUUGAGGGUGUUGACGCAAUGUAAUUUCUGCCCAGUGCUCUGAAUGUCAACGUGAAGAAAUUCAAGCAAGCGCGGGUAAACGGCGGGAGUAACUAUGACUCUCUUAAGGUUAUGGUUGCUUAGGGACUGUCUCCUCUCCCGAUAUUACCAUCAGUGGGUACUUGGAGCAGUCACCUCAAAAACUCUUAAAGGAUUGGAUACGUAUUAGUACACACUGCGGUGCGUCGAUGACUGCGAUUUCCCCAUGUUCCUGGAUACUUUCAUGCGCCGAUACAGAGUGGCGGGCUUGGCAUGCCUCUACUCAAAGUUUUUAUCCCUAUCUUGAAGCAUAACCGACUGCAGCGGCUCUGCAGAAGUACUCUGCCUGCGGCAAGCACCGCUGCCGAAUCCACCUAUGUGGCUAGGCAGUUGGUGUGGUGCGAGAACCAAAUGAGGAUUCGCGGCCAUAGAGUUACCUCGGCUGCUGAGCUCAGACAGCAGUGUGCAGCCUGGUUGCGCGAGUCGUGUAAUGGGAACGGGCUCAGGGAGGUCGAGUCGUCCAAACUGAGCUCAUAUUGGGUCGCACAUGGUGCCUACGCCAUAUCCGGAGCCGAUUACGUGCACUAUCACUAUACGGUGCACGGGCUAACUGCAUCCGUCUCGAGUGACUCUCCCGAGGUCGUGAUGGGCGCGAUAGGUUCGCUGUAGGGCCGGAUGUCCCGAAAGAGACUCCGGCUCAUUGCGUUCAGCGCUGCUUCAGAACGCACGGAGGAAGGAUCCUGCGACACAACGACCUGUGUCGUCAAGUUGGCCAAAUGCCUCGUCAUCUAAUUAGUGACGCGCAUGAAUGGAUUAACGAGAUUCCCGCUGUCCCUAUCUAUUUUU